UAGGGUGCAAGCGUUAAUCGGAAUUACUGGGCGUAAAGCGUGCGCAGGCGGUUGUGGAAGACCGAUGUGAAAUCCCCGGGCUUAACCUGGGAAUGGCAUUGGUGACUGCACGGCUAGAGUGUGUCAGAGGGGGGUAGAAUUCCACGUGUAGCAGUGAAAUGCGUAGAGAUGUGGAGGAAUACCGAUGGCGAAGGCAGCCCCCUGGGAUAACACUGACGCUCAUGCACGAAAGCGUGGGGAGCAAACAGG
rnacentral:rRNA from 1 species